rnacentral:rRNA from 1 species
CCUACGGGAGGCAGCAGUGAGGAAUAUUGGUCAAUGGGCGCUACCCUGAACCAGCCACGUCGCGUGAAGGAUGACUGCCCUAUGGGUUUUAAACUUCUUUUAUAUGGGCAUAAAUUGCAGUAUGUAUACUGCUUUGCAUGUCCCUUAUGAAUAAGGAUCGGCUAACUCUGCGUCAGCAGCCGUGGUUAUACGGAGGUGCCGAGCGUUAUCCGGAUUUAUGGGGUGUAAUGGGAGCGUAGGCGGGUUGUUAAGUUAGUUGUGAAAUCUUUCGGUUCAACCGGAGAAUUGCAGUUGAUAAUGGCAGCCUAGAGUGCAGGAGAGGUAGACGGAAUUCGUGGUGUAGCGGUGAAAUGCUUAGAGAUCACGAAGAACGCCAGUGGCGAAGG